GACGAACGCUGGCGGCGUGCUUAACACAUGCAAGUCGAACGGAAAGGCCCUGCUUUUGUGGGGUGCUCGAGUGGCGAACGGGUGAGUAACACGUGAGUAACCUGCCCUUGACUUUGGGAUAACUUCAGGAAACUGGGGCUAAUACCGGAUAGGAGCUCCUGCUGCAUGGUGGGGGUUGGAAAGUUUCGGCGGUUGGGGAUGGACUCGCGGCUUAUCAGCUAGUUGGUGGGGUAGUGGCUUACCAAGGCUUUGACGGGUAGCCGGCCUGAGAGGGUGACCGGCGACAAUGGGCCUGAGAUACGGCCCAGACUGCAACGGGAGGCAGCAGUGGCGAAUAUUGCACAAUGGGCGGGAGCCUGAUGAAGAGACGCCGCGUGCGGGAUGACGGCCUUCGGGGUAUAAACCGCUUUAGCCUGUGACGAAGCGUGAGUGACGGUAAUGGAUAAAGAAGCACCGGCUAACUACGUG
rnacentral:rRNA from 1 species